GAUGAACGCUGGCGGCGUGCCUAAUACAUGCAAGUCGAGCGAACAGACGAGGAGCUUGCUCCUCUGACGUUAGCGGCGGACGGGUGAGUAACACGUGGAUAACCUACCUAUAAGACUGGGAUAACUUCGGGAAACCGGAGCUAAUACCGGAUAAUAUAUUGAACCGCAUGGUUCAAUAGUGAAAGACGGUUUUGCUGUCACUUAUAGAUGGAUCCGCGCCGCAUUAGCUAGUUGGUAAGGUAACGGCUUACCAAGGCAACGAUGCGUAGCCGACCUGAGAGGGUGAUCGGCCACACUGGAACUGAGACACGGUCCAGACUCCUACGGGAGGCAGCAGUAGGGAAUCUUCCGCAAUGGGCGAAAGCCUGACGGAGCAACGCCGCGGGAGGGAUGAAGGUCUUCGGAUCGUAAAACUCUGUUAUUAGGGAAGAACAAAUGUGUAAGUAACUAUGCACGUCUUGACGGUACCUAAUCAGAAAGCCACGGCUAACUACGUG
rnacentral:rRNA from 1 species